UCCUCCCUAUGCCAAUCUCACUCACUCACACUUGGAAUCGAUCCCCAGCCUCCCGGGUGCCAGCCAGCCACUCUACCCACUGAGCUAUACUCCUUGGCCAUUCUCACUCACUCGUAUACUCCCUAUCUCACUCACCCACUGACCUAUACUCCCUAUCUCACUCACUCACUGCUAUCCUCCCUAUGCCAAUCUCACUCACUCACACCUGGAAUCGAUCCCCAGCCUCCCGGGUGCCAGCCAGUCACUCUACCCACUGAGCUAUACUCCUUGGCCUUUCUCACUCACUCCUAUACUCCCUAUCACACUCACCCACUGAGCUAUACUCCCUAUCACACUCACCCACUGAGCUAUACUCCCUAUCUCACUGACUGCUAUCCUCCCUAUGCCAAUCUCACUCACUCACACCUGGAAUCGAUCCCCAGCCUCCCAGGUGCCAGCCAGUCACUCUACCCACUGAGCUAUACUCCUUGGCCUUUCUCACUCACUCCUAUACUCCCUAUCUCACUCACCCACUGAGCUAUACUACCUAUCUCACUCACUGCUAUCCUCCCUAUGCCAAUCUUUCUCACUCACACCUUUAAUCGAUACCCAACCUCCCGGGUGCCAGCCAGUCACUCUACCCACUGAGCUAUACUCCUUGGCCUUUCUCACUCACUCCUAUACUCCCUAUCUCACUCACCCACUGAGCUAUACUACCU